rnacentral:rRNA from 1 species
AUUGAACGCUGGCGGCAGGCCUAACACAUGCAAGUCGAGCGAGCGGCGGACGGGUGAGUAAUGUCUGGGAAACUGCCUGUUGGAGGGGGAGAACUACUGGAAACGGUAGCUAAUACCGCAUACCAUCAGAUGUGCCCAGAUGGGAUUAUCUAGUAGGUGGGGUAACGGCGCACCUAGGCGACGCUCCCUAGCUGGUCUGAGAGGAUGACCAGCCAGGCUGGAACUGAGACACGGUCCAGACGCCUACGGGGGGCAGGAGUGGGGAAUAUUGCACAAUGGGCGCAAGCCUGAUGCAGCCAUGCCGCGUGUGUGAAGAGGGCCUUCGGGUGGUAAAGCACUUUCAGCGGGGAGGCGUUACCCGCAGAAGAAGCACCGGCUAACUCCGUGCCAGCAGCCGCGGUAAUUC